AUCUUACCGAUAGAUGAACACAUUCCAUCACUUCCUUCGACAACAUGAAUUAAAGUAAUAUCUUAUUCGAGACUCCUUAAACAGGGUCAUGGUAGCCCUCAUCCAUUCUGCCCACCAAAACCAGAUGAUGUUGCUACUAUUUGCUAUACAAGCGGCACAACUGGAACACCUAAGGGGGUUGUGUUGACACAUGGAAAUUUGAUUGCCAAUGUAGCUGGGGCAUGCCUUAAUAUCAAAUUCCAUCAUUCAGAUAUGUGAGUAGAAAAACAGUUUAGUUU